rnacentral:rRNA from 1 species
CCUACGGGAGGCAGCAGUGAGGAAUAUUGGUCAAUGGGCGAGAGCCUGAACCAGCCAAGUCGCGUGAGGGAAGAAGGUCCUAUGGAUUGUAAACCUCUUUUGCCGGGGAGCAAAAAGCGGUACGUGUACCGCAUCGCGUGUACGCGGAGAAAAAGCAUCGGCUAACUCCGUGCCAGCAGACGCGGUAAUACGGGGGAUGCGAGCGUUAUACGGAUUUAUUGGGUUUAGAGGGUGCGGAGGGGGCGAGUUAAGUCAGCGGUAAAAUUUCGGGGCUCAACCCCGACGAGCCGUUGAAACUGGCUUGCUAGAGUGGGCGAGAAGUAUGCGGAAUGCGUGGUGUAGCGGUGAAAUGCAUAGAUAUCACGCAGAACUCCGAUUGCGAAGGCAGCAUACCGGCGCCCAACUGACGCUCAGGCACGAAAGCGUGGGUAUCGAACAGGAUUAGAUACCCGGGUAGUC